rnacentral:ncRNA from 1 species
GCCUCGCAAGCAAUGUAACCUUGUAUAAUCUUGGCAAUAUGGGCCAUAAGUUUCUACUUCGAAACCGUAAAUUUCGAAACUACAAUGAAGCAGGAUAACGCU